UACGGAGGGUGCGAGCGUUGUCCGGAAUUAUUGGGCGUAAAGAGCUCGUAGGCGGUGUGUCGCGUCGGCCGUGAAAACCUGCAGCUUAACUGUGGGCGUGCGGUUGAUACGGGUUGGCUGGAGUUCGGUAGGGGAGACUGGAAUUCCUGGUGUAGCGGUGAAAUGCGCAGAUAUCAGGAGGAACACCGGUGGCGAAGGCGGGUCUCUGGGCCGAUACUGACGCUGAGGAGCGAAAGCGUGGGGAGCGAACAGG
rnacentral:rRNA from 1 species